rnacentral:rRNA from 1 species
CAUAGGUUAAUGAGGCGAACCGGGGGAACUGAAACAUCUAAGUACCCCGAGGAAAAGAAAUCAACCGAGAUUCCCCCAGUAGCGGCGAGCGAACGGGGAGCAGCCCAGAGCCUGAAUCAGUGUGUGUGUUAGUGGAAGCGUCUGGAAAGGCGCGCGAUACAGGGUGACAGCCCCGUACACAAAAAUGCACAUGCUGUGAGCUCGAUGAGUAGGGCGGGACACGUGGUAUCCUGUCUGAAUAUGGGGGGACCAUCCUCCAAGGCUAAAUACUCCUGACUGACCGAUAGUGAACCAGUACCGUGAGGGAAAGGCGAAAAGAACCCCGGCGAGGGGAGUGAAAAAGAACCUGAAACCGUGUACGUACAAGCAGUGGGAGCACGCUUAGGCGUGUGACUGCGUACCUUUUGUAUAAUGGGUCAGCGACUUAUAUUCUGUAGCAAGGUUAACCGAAUAGGGGAGCCGAAGGGAAACCGAGUCUUAACUGGGCGUUAAGUUGCAGGGUAUAGACCCGAAACCCGGUGAUCUAGCCAUGGGCAGGUUGAAGGUUGGGUAACACUAACUGGAGGACCGAACCGACUAAUGUUGAAAAAUUAGCGGAUGACUUGUGGCUGGGGGUGAAAGGCCAAUCAAACCGGGAGAUAGCUGGUUCUCCCCGAAAGCUAUUUAGGUAGCGCCUCGUGAAUUCAUCUCCGGGGGU